CACGCUCUAUAGGAUUUGAACCUACGACAUCGGGUUUUGGAGACCCGCGUUCUACCGAACUGAACUAAGAG
rnacentral:tRNA from 1 species